AUUGAACGCUGGCGGCAUGCCUUACACAUGCAAGUCGAACGGCAGCAUGAUCUAGCUUGCUAGAUUGAUGGCGAGUGGCGAACGGGUGAGUAAUACAUCGGAACGUGCCCUGUGGUGGGGGAUAACUAGUCGAAAGAUUAGCUAAUACCGCAUACGACCUGAGGGUGAAAGUGGGGGACCGCAAGGCCUCAUGCUAUAGGAGCGGCCGAUGUCUGAUUAGCUAGUUGGUGAGGUAAAGGCUCACCAAGGCGACGAUCAGUAGCCGGUCUGAGAGGACGAUCAGCCACACUGGGACUGAGACACGGCCCAGACUCCUACGGGAGGCAGCAGUUGGGAAUUUUGGACAAUGGGGGCAACCCUGAUCCAGCAAUGCCGCGUGUGUGAAGAAGGCCUUCGGGCUGUAUAGCACUUUUGUCCGGAAAGAAAUCGCACUUACUAAUAUUAGGUGUGGAUGACGGUACCGGAAGAAUAAGGACCGGCUAACUACGUGCCAGCCGCCGCCGUAAAAC
rnacentral:rRNA from 1 species